GACGAACGCUGGCGGCGUGCUUAACACAUGCAAGUCGAACGGUGAAGCUCCAGCUUGCUGGAGUGGAUCAGUGGCGAACGGGUGAGUAACACGUGAGCAACCUGCCCCUGACUUUGGAAUAAGCGCUGGAAACGGCGUCUAAUACUGGAUACGAGAAGGGUCCGCAUGGGCACUUUCUGGAAAGUUUUUCGGUUGGGGAUGGGCUCGCGGCCUAUCAGCUUGUUGGUGAGGUAAUGGCUCACCAAGGCGACGACGGGUAGCCGGCCUGAGAGGGCGACCGGCCACACUGGGACUGAGACACGGCCCAGACUCCUACGGGAGGCAGCAGUGGGGAAUAUUGCACAAUGGGCGAAAGCCUGAUGCAGCGACGCCGCGUGAGGGAUGACGGCCUUCGGGUUGUAAACCUCUUUCAGCAGGGAAGAAGCGAAAGUGACGGUACCUGCAGAAGAAGCACCGGCUAACUACGUG
rnacentral:rRNA from 1 species